GACGAACGCUGGCGGCGUGCUUAACACAUGCAAGUCGAACGAUGAAGCGGUGCUUGCACCGUGGAUUAGUGGCGAACGGGUGAGUAACACGUGAGUAACCUGCCUUCCACUCUGGGAUAAGCGCUGGAAACGGCGUCUAAUACUGGAUAUGACAUUGCCUCGCAUGGGGUGGUGUGGAAAGAUUUUUUGGUGGUAGAUGGACUCGCGGCCUAUCAGCUUGUUGGUGGGGUAAUGGCCUACCAAGGCGACGACGGGUAGCCGGCCUGAGAGGGUGACCGGCCACACUGGGACUGAGACACGGCCCAGACUCCUACGGGAGGCAGCAGUGGGGAAUAUUGCACAAUGGGCGAAAGCCUGAUGCAGCGACGCCGCGUGAGGGAUGACGGCCUUCGGGUUGUAAACCUCUUCAGCUCUGACGAAAGCU
rnacentral:rRNA from 1 species